rnacentral:rRNA from 1 species
UACGAGUGCUUCGAGCGUUAUCCGGAAUCAUUGGGCGUAAAGGGUGCGUAGGCGGCGAUGUUAGUCUCCCGUAAAAUCUUUCGGCUCAACCGAGAGCUCGCGGGAGAAACGGCAUUGCUUGAGAUCGGCAGGGGCCACUGGAAUUCUAGGUGUAGCGGUGAAAUGCGUUGAUAUCUAGGAGAACACUAAAAGCGAAGGCAGGUGGCUGGGCCGUUUCUGACGCUGA